UUAUUAGGUCAGUUAGACUCCUACCUGCCAAGCUGAUCACAAGCUCUAUCUACUUGUCUUUAAAGUAUUCCAGGCAGUUACAUAAAUUAUUCGAAACUUGUACAGAGGUGGCAGUAAUAGAAGCAUCUAGGAUGGCUCACAGAGUGUCUACAGAAUACAAUAAAUAUCCAGUAUGUAAAUACAUGCUAUCUAUGCCAUCUGCCCUGCCUCUGUGAACUGUAAUGUACCAAGCAUUGAAGAAUAAAGAACUCAUUAUUACU